rnacentral:rRNA from 1 species
CAGUCGCCGCGGUAACACGAAGGGUGCAAGCGUUAAUCGGAAUUACUGGGCGUAAAGCGUGCGUAGGCGGUGAGUUAAGUCUGCUGUGAAAUCCCCGGGCUCAACCUGGGAAUGGCAGUGGAUACUGGCUCGCUAGAGUGUGUCAGAGGAUGGUGGAAUUCCCGGUGUAGCGGUGAAAUGCGUAGAGAUCGGGAGGAACAUCAGUGGCGAAGGCGGCCAUCUGGGACAACACUGACGCUGAGGCACGAAAGCGUGGGGAGCAAACAGGAUUAGAGACCUCUGUAGUCCCUGUCUCUUAUAA